AGCUUUGCUCAGUGGCAGUAUUGUAGCCAAUGAGGUUUAUCCAAGGUGUGAUUAUUGCUAAUUGAAAAAAAAAUAAAGAUAGUAGCUUGCAAACUUGUUUUUUGAAGGUGGUCCACAAUA
rfam:Myotis davidii contig174416, whole genome shotgun sequence.